GGAGGGCGCGGCGUUGGUGGGACGAGGGCCUGAUCCUGCGGGCCCCUUUGGAGGAAGGAGCAGCCCUCUCCAAGCUGGCUGGCUGCAGGAGUUUCUGCUCGAUGGACGGAGGCGUGCUGGUGGGAUCGCGUUUUCAACAUGCUCUUUGCACUUAAACCACCCCCACCGUGCUGAGUCCCAGUCGUGAAGCUGUCUGUGCUGUACUGGGGACAAGUGGAACAACUUGCUAAAAGCAGACACGAUUUUUGUGGUUAGAAAUGAACUGACCUUGGCAGGAAACACUUAGCCAGGCUGGCAAAGAGACUGCUUAGCCCUCUCGUGUAAGGUAGCGACGUUUUUAUGAACUAGCAGAAAGAGGAGAGAAGCUUGUCACCGUGAACCUGGUUCUCAUGAGUCAGCUGCUAGACUGGGGAAGUCCCGUCCUACCCGUGAAGCAUCAUUUGCCUGCAAAUGGGAUUGACGUCCUCUGCAAAUAUUUGCCUGCGAUCAGAUUUCUUCAGAAGUAAAGAAGCACAAAAGGAGACGUUCUGUUCUUUGAAAAUAACUGGAACCACUGGCAAGAAGCAGCAACACUGUGCAUCAAACAAGGAAACCAUUUCCAGGUUAUUCAAAACAUGCUGUUGAACUGAAUUUUGCAGCUGCGUUUUCAAAUGUAC